rnacentral:rRNA from 1 species
GCUUAACACUUGUCCUGCUAUAGAAACUAUUAGACUAGAGUGAGAUAGAGGCAAGUGGAAUUCCAUGUGUAGCGGUAAAAUGCGUAAAUAUAUGGAGGAACACCAGAGGCGUAGGCGGCUUGCUGGGUCUUUACUGACGCUGAGGCACGAAAGCGUGGGGAGCAAACAGGAUUAGAUACCCUGGUAGUCCACGCCGUAAACGAUGAGUACUAAGUGUCGGGAUUACUCGGUACUGAAGUUAACACAUUAAGUACUCCGCCUGAGUAGUACGUACGCAAGUAUGAAACUUAAAGGAAUUGACGGGACUCCGCACAAGCGGUGGAUCAUGUUGUUUAAUUCGAAGAUACACGAAAAACCUUACCAGGUCUUGACAUACUCUGCAAAGCUAUAGCAAUAUAGUGGAGGUUAUCAGGAUACAGGUGGUGCAUGGUUGUCGUCAGCUCGUGUCGUGAGAUGUUAGGUUAAGUCCUAAAACGAGCGCAACCCUUGUC